GACGAACGCUGGCGGCGCGCUUAACACAUGCAAGUCGAACGGAAAGGCCUGCUUUCCCUUGUGGAUUGCGGGUACUCGAGUGGCGAACGGGUGAGUAACACGUGAGUGAUCUGCCCCCAACUUGGGUAUAAGCUUGGGAAACUGGGUCUAAUUCCCGAUAGGACUGCAGGGUGGUGCCUGUGGUGGAAAACGAUUUUCUAGUGGUUGGGGAUGAGCUCGCGGCCUAUCAGCUUGUUGGUGGGGUAAUGGCCUACCAAGGCGGCGACGGGUAGCCGGCCUGAGAGGGUGGACGGCCACAUUGGGACUGAGAUACGGCCCAGACUCCUACGGGAGGCAGCAGUGGGGAAUAUUGCACAAUGGGCGGAAGCCUGAUGCAGCGGCGCCGCGUGGGGGAUGACGGCCUUCGGGUUGUAAACUCCUUUCGACCGCGAGGAAGCCACCUGGUUGGAAGGGUGGUGACGGUAGUGGUAGAAGAAGCACCGGCUAACUACGUG
rnacentral:rRNA from 1 species